rnacentral:lncRNA from 1 species
AUCAGAGUCCAAUUUACUCUUCAGGGGCCCUAAUCAUUCUAUACCUGAACUGGACAGAAAGAAAAUAAUUUGUUCACUUAACAGAAAGAAAGUCUAUACUCCCAAAACAAAAUGAGUCAGACAGUGAUCUUUGAAUUAACAGGCUCUGCUGACGGACUAUUUUCCCCACUUUUCAUCAGUCUGGUGACAGUGGACUCUGGACAGAGAUAAAUGAGAGGUCAAGCUACCCUUCAUUUUUCCAGAGGAUUAUUUCACCCACAGAUAAGGCACGAAGAAGGAAGUAAUAGUCAAGACCAGCCUGUGAGAAAACAACAAAAAAAGGAUAACUAACAAAAGCCCCAUUCUCCAGCUCUUGCCCCGGCCAGCGCUUCAGCACGGUGAGCACUCCCACUAUAGCAAGCAGAGUUUGUUAUUUUUUUCAGUGAGGGGGGUAAUAACCCAACAAAGCUAAUAGGUGGCAAGGGUGAUUGUGCCUCAAGUAUUAGAUGCUUGUGUUACUUUUCCUAACUUUAUAGCUGGUGUUAGAAUACCAAAAGAAAAUUUUUAAAAAGUUUCUGCACCCAGUUUUUUCAUAGUACAGAAAGCCUGGCACCAUACAAAAGAAGGUAUGCUAAAAUAUAUUUACUGACUGGUUUUAAAUGAAGAGAAGAGUGAUAAACUUCAUAAUGUCAUUGUGAGAUUUAAGUUUUCAUUCUCCGUUUUGAGGAAGGAAAAUAACUUUCCAAAUGCUAUUAUUAUUCUUAGGAUAUAUUGAGGAAACAAGAAGGGUUAUCAUGAUAAUAAGUAAAAAGCAAACAAAGAUACACAUGAACUUGUUACAGACUUUCUUAUUGUUAAAUUUGAUUUCAUCAACAAUAAGAAAGAAGUAAGUCUACUUCCUUUUUGAGUCACUGUCAAACUUUAUUCUACUAUGGAAGAUAGUUUUUAGAUUCUUUGAAUUUUCUUAGGGAAAUCCUAAUCCUAAUAUAUAAAGGACUUGAACAGUUGUCAUUUCUAUUUCUCCAAUUAUUUUAAAUUUAUGGUUCAAAGCAACAUAGAGACAGGAUGAGUUUUUAGAGACUUAGCACUCCUUAAGGUUGCCAAAUUAAACUCAGCAAUUAGAAUUACUACUGAUAAAACUACAUUUAAAUAGGCACAUCAAUUAAUGUAUUUUCUCUAGGAAGUACUUGAGAAAACAGAAUGCACAAAUGGCUUACACGCUGCAGAAUAAAAAAGGUACAUGAGAAUCAAAAGAUUUAUCUGAUAAUGACUUCUGUUUAUGUGGAUGUUAUAGACAUUACAUGCAAACCGGCUCAUUUUCACAAGGUGCAUAGUGAAAAAUGCUUUUCAUGAUAUUUCAAGAAUAAUUCUACCUAGGUUUUAUGCUUAUCUCUUGUUUAGAGGUUCAAAUUAAAUAGUUUCACUCUGUAGACUGUAGAGUGCUAUGCAAAUGGCAGUAGAGCAGCUUCAGAACCACUUCUAACUGUAACAUUAAGGCAAACUGAUGAGCACGCACAUCUAUUUGUCUACAAUUUGUUUAUAGUUCUGAUUAUGCAGCUAUGGGCUCUUUCAUACCCACGUUAUUUUGCCCCACAACCUUCCUCCUAUGUCCCCUGGAACUUUUUCUCCAUGGUUAACGUCAUCUCUCACAGGCUCAAACACUUCUUAUGCUCCCUUUUUAUCUUCCCCUUAACUAAGCCUUGUCUCACCCCUGAAGGAAGAGCUUCAUCCCUUUCCAGUGAAGCCUGCUUGCCCUGUAUGAUGCAGGGUCAAAGUAUGAGGUGCUCCUCAACUACCCAAUCCACCGGUGCAUCAUGAGUCCUCAACAUCCAUGUAAACCACUUUUCCUAUAAAGAGCAGAUGGUAAAUAUUUUAGGUUUAUGGACCAUAAGUCUCUGAUGCAAUUGCUGAACUCUGUCAUUGUAGCAUGAAUGCAGCUGUAGACAAUAUGUACAUAAAUGGACAUGGCUGUGUUCCCAUAAUGCCUUAUUUUAAAAAAUAGGCAAUUGACAAGUGAAUCAUAGUUUGCUGAUUCCUGCGAUAUGUAAAUGCAUAAAUAAAAUUGUGACAUACUCACAAUGAGAUACUAUACAGCAAUGGGUAUAAGUGAGCUACAACUACAUGUAGCAAAAUGGGUGAAUCUUACAAACCAUUGAGUGAAGAAAACCAGAGGAAAACAAUACAUACUAUUUGAUUCCAUAAUAGUGCAAAGAUAGUUGAAACGAAUUUAUGAUAUUAGAAAUGUGGAGGGGGUUAUCCCCUGGAGGGGGAGGUAGGAACUGCAUGAAAGCAUGAGGAGGCCUUCACAGUACUGGAAUGCCCUAUUUCUUGACUUGAGUCCUAUUAUGCAGAUGUUCGGUUUGUAAAACUUCAGCUAGCAGAAUGGUUGUAGUAUGUACAUUUUUAUGUAUGUAUAUUAUACUUCAAUUAAAAUAUCAUCUAUUGUAUACUGUGGGGAAUACAUUUUAAAAAAUUAUUGGAGUUCGACUAAAAUUCAUGCAAAGAGCUCCAGAUGGAAGCACAGUCUCCUAGAAAGAGC